rnacentral:rRNA from 1 species
UACGAAGGGGGCUAGCGUUGCUCGGAAUUACUGGGCGUAAAGGGCGCGUAGGCGGCACUGUUAGUCAGGCGUGAAAGUCCUGGCUCGAACCUGGGAACUGCGCUUGAUACGGCAGAGCUAGAGGAUGGAAGAGGCUCGCGGAAUUCCCAGUGUAGAGGUGAAAUUCGUAGAUAUUGGGAAGAACACCGGUGGCGAAGGCGGCGAGCUGGUCCAUUACUGACGCUGAGGCGCGACAGCGUGGGGAGCAAACAGG